AGUGAACGCUGGCGGCAGGCCUAACACAUGCAAGUCGAGCGGAUGAGUGGAGCUUGCUCCAUGAUUCAGCGGCGGACGGGUGAGUAAUGCCUAGGAAUCUGCCUGGUAGUGGGGGACAACGUUUCGAAAGGAACGCUAAUACCGCAUACGUCCUACGGGAGAAAGUGGGGGAUCUUCGGACCUCACGCUAUCAGAUGAGCCUAGGUCGGAUUAGCUAGUUGGUGCGGUAAAGGCUCACCAAGGCGACGAUCCGUAACUGGUCUGAGAGGAUGAUCAGGCACACUGGAACUGAGACACGGUCCAGACUCCUACGGGAGGCAGCAGUGGGGAAUAUUGGACAAUGGGCGAAAGCCUGAUCCAGCCAUGCCGCGUGUGUGAAGAGGGUCGUCGGAUUGUAAAGCACUUUAAGUUGGGAGGAAGGGCAGUAAGUUAAUACCUUGCUGUUUUGACGUUACCAACAGAAUAAGCACCGGCUAACUUCGUGCCAGCAGCCGCAGUAAAAC
rnacentral:rRNA from 1 species